rnacentral:rRNA from 1 species
AUUGAACGCUGGCGGAAUGCUUUACACAUGCAAGUCGAACGGCAGCACGGGGCAACCUGGUGGCGAGUGGCGAACGGGUGAGUAAUGCAUCGGAACGUACCUUUCAGUGGGGGAUAACGUAGCGAAAGUUACGCUAAUACCGCAUAUUCUGUGAGCAGGAAAGCAGGGGAUCGCAAGACCUUGCGCUGAUUGAGCGGCCGAUGUCAGAUUAGCUAGUUGGUGAGGUAAAGGCUCACCAAGGCGACGAUCUGUAGCGGGUCUGAGAGGAUGAUCCGCCACACUGGAACUGAGACACGGUCCAGACUCCUACGGGAGGCAGCAGUGGGGAAUUUUGGACAAUGGGGGCAACCCUGAUCCAGCCAUGCCGCGUGAGUGAAGAAGGCCUUCGGGUUGUAAAGCUCUUUCGGCCGGGAAGAAAUCGCACGGGCUAAUACCCUGUGUGGAUGACGGUACCGGGAUAAGAAGCACCGGCUAACUACGUGCCAGCAGCCGCAGUAAAAC